rnacentral:rRNA from 1 species
UACAGAGGGGGCAAGCGUUGUUCGGAAUUACUGGGCGUAAAGGGCGCGUAGGCGGCCUGUUAAGUCGAACGUGAAAUCCCCCGGCUCAACCGGGGAACUGCGUCCGAUACUGGUGGGCUCGAAUCCGGGAGAGGGAUGUGGAAUUCCAGGUGUAGCGGUGAAAUGCGUAGAUAUCUGGAGGAACACCGGUGGCGAAGGCGGCAUCCUGGACCGGCAUUGACGCUGAGGCGCGAAAGCCAGGGGAGCAAACGGG